GAUGAACGCUGGCGGCGUGCCUAAUACAUGCAAGUCGAGCGAACAGACGAGGAGCUUGCUCCUCUGACGUUAGCGGCGGACGGGUGAGCAACACGUGGAUAACCUACCUAUAAGACUGGGAUAACUUCGGGAAACCGGAGCUAAUACCGGAUAAUAUAUUGAACCGCAUGGUUCAAUAGUGAAAGACGGUUUUGCUGUCACUUAUAGAUGGAUCCGCGCCGCAUUAGCUAGUUGGUAAGGUAACGGCUUACCAAGGCAACGAUGCGUAGCCGACCUGAGAGGGUGAUCGGCCACACUGGAACUGAGACACGGUCCAGACUCCUACGGGAGGCAGCAGUAGGGAAUUUUCCGCAAUGGGCGAAAGCUUGACGGAGCAACGCCGCGUGAGUGAUGAAGGUCUUCGGAUCGUAAAACUCUGUUAUUAGGGAAGAACAAAUGUGUAAGUAACUAUGCACGUCUUGACGGUACCUAAUCAGAAAGCCACGGCUAACUACGUG
rnacentral:rRNA from 1 species